AUGCAAGUCGAACGCGAAAGUUCCCUUCGGGGAGCGAGUAGAGUGGCGCACGGGUGAGUAACACGUAGGUAAUCUACCUUUGGAUUGGGAAUAACAACCGGAAACGGUUGCUAAUACCGAAUAAUGCAGCGGCACCUAAUGGUGACAGUUGUUAAAGCGGGGGAUCGCAAGACCUCGCGUCUAAAGAGGAGCCUGCGGCGGAUUAGCUAGUUGGUAAGGUAAUGGCUUACCAAGGCUAUGAUCCGUAGCCGGCCUGAGAGGGCGGUCGGCCACACUGACACUGACAUACGGGUCAGACUCCUACGGGAGGCAGCAGUCGGGAAUUUUGGGCAAUGGGCGAAAGCCUGACCCAGCAACGCCGCGUGAAGGAUGAAAUCCUUCGGGAUGUAAACUUCGCAAGAACGGGAAGAAUAAGUAAGAGCUAACAUCUCUUAUGAUGACGGUACUGUUUGUAAGCUCCGGCUAACUCCGUGCCAGCAGCCGCGGUAAUACGGGGGGAGCAAGCGUUGUUCGGAUUUACUGGGCGUAAAGGGCGCGUAGGCGGCCACCGCAAGUCGAUUGUGAAAUCUCCGGGCUUAACCCGGAAAGGUCAACCGAUACUGCGGGGCUAGAGUGCAGAAGGGGCAACUGGAAUUCUCGGUGUAGCGGUGAAAUGCGUAGAUAUCGAGAGGAACACCUGCGGCGAAGGCGGGUUGCUGGGCUGACACUGACGCUGAAGUGCGAAAGCUAGGGGAGCGAACGGGAUUAGAUACCCCGGUAGUCCUAGCCUUAAACGAUGAAUGCUUGGUGUCUGGGGUUUUAUAGUCCCCGGGGUGCCGUCGCUAACGCUUUAAGCAU
rnacentral:rRNA from 1 species